UAGGGAAUCUUCGGCAAUGGACCAAAGUCUGACCGAGCAACGCCGCGUGAGUGAAGAAGGUUUUCGGAUCGUAAAACUCUGUUGUUAGAGAAGAACAAGGACGUUAGUAACUGAACGUCCCCUGACGGUAUCUAACCAGAAAGCCACGUUUAACUACGUUCCAGCAGCCGCGGUAAUACGUAGGUGGCAAGCGUUGUCCGGAUUUAUUGGGCGUAAAGCGAGCGCAGGGGGUUUCUUAAGUCUGAUGUGAAAGCCCCCGGCUCAACCGGGGAGGGUCAUUGGAAACUGGGAGACUUAAGUGCAGAAGAGGAGAGUGGAAUUACAUGUGUCACGGUGAAAUGCUUAGAUAUAUGGAGGAACACCAGUGGCGAAGGCGGCUCUCUGGUCUAUAACUGACGCUGAGGCUCGAAAGCGUGGGGAGCAAACAGG
rnacentral:rRNA from 1 species